rnacentral:rRNA from 1 species
CCAAGGAGUCUAACAUGUGCGCGAGUCAUGGGGUCCGUACGAAACCCAAAGGCGCAAUGAAAGUGAAGGCCUCCUCCGGAUGGCCCAGGCAAGAUCCCGGCCCCGCGCGGGCUGGGCGCACUGCCGGCCCGUCUCGGCGGCAUCGUCCGCGAGGCGGAGCAAGAGCGCACACGUUGGGACCCGAAAGAUGGUGAACUAUGUCCGAGUAGGACGAAGUCAGGGGAAACUCUGAUGGAGGUCCGCAGCGAUUCUGACGUGCAAAUCGAUCGUCAAACUUGGAUAUAGGGGCGAAAGACUAAUCGAACCAUCUA